UCCCAGCCCAGCGGGAGGCAAACUGAAGCCAAGACAUUGUUCAUGAACCAGCAAGCAUCAUGUGGCCCUCCUUCCCAAGAGUUUGUCUCCAGCUGAGGGAUGAGACUGCUGCUACUUAGCAUAAUGCUUUGCUUUACGACUCUCUCUGACCUGCAGUAAUGGAUGCUUCUCUGCUCUUGUCAAUUAGCCUCCAUUUUCCACCGCAUGCUUUUAUAGUGCCUCUAAUGCAUCUUAAACUACAGAAGUGGCUUCCACAUCACAAGAACAUCUCUCCAGUCAGGCUUUGUGUCCUGGAGCGGGACUUUCCUCCGCUGCUGGUGCAGAUGUGCUGUGACACUGUUCCUGGCCAGCCAAGAAUGGCAUCAUCCACUUUGAGCCAACUGUACGGAUUCACAGCCAACCCAGAGAGGUUUAUUUAUAGACGUCAGCGGUCCCCACCCGGGCUGCACCCCACCACAUGUUUACCGCAGAGCCAAGUUUGUUUUCAUUCUCCCAGGCCCUACUGUAAGCACACAAGCUCCCUCAAACAUAUCCCCUGCGGCUGGAGAAUACUGUACGACAAGGAAAGGACGAUACGUUUGACCUCAGUGGUCCCACACACGGGUGGGUAUGGACACACUGGAGGACACUGGAAAACAUGUUUGGGCUUGUUUGGACAUGCACGCAGUUUACUGACACAGCUGUACAGGUGUUGUCACACCUACACAUAUACAAAACACACACAUAUAUGCAAACUCAAACAUGCAUGAAAAAAUUACCAAGGCAUGCAGUUGUAUCUUAACUACCAAGGCAGCAUCCUAAAUGGAACGUGAUUUUGAACACUGUGUGUCAUAGUGCUUUUUACAUGAUGUGCAUAAUAAACUG
rnacentral:lncRNA from 1 species